GGGGAGGGGAAGGGGAAGGGAGGAAGGAGAACUACAGAGGGAAAGCCACACAUGAGUUAGAAUUUGUCAUGAUGACAACAUGGUAUCUUCUAUAUUGAGCAAAAGGGAAAAAUUAUAAAACUAUUAAAACUACAAGCCAACAUUUUAUAAUAAUUAAUGCAAAUGAAGGGUAUUCUUCCAACUUCUCCCCAACUCCCCUGCCACCACCCAGGCCUGGACAGCUAUAAGAGCUCCCCACAGCUUGUCCCCACUCUUGCCCUGCUCCAAUCAGAGGCUCUUUUUAGAUGAAAGUUGGUGGUGUCACAAGCUCUUUAAUAGUUUCUUUCAGGGUACCCUAUUCUUCUCCUUCAUAGCACUUUCCACAGUUACACUGUUUAUUUUAUUUGCUUAGUGUCUGCCUCCCCUCAACAAACUCCAGGGUGAUAUAGACUGAAUUUUUUGCCCAUCCCCGUAUCCCUGGGUACCUGGGCACACCACGAAUAUCUGAUGAAAUCAAUCACUACCAACGUUAGUCUGCUAACAGCACUACAGGAAACAUCUCAAGAGUUAACACUGUCUGUUUUUAUAUCAGAAAUAACUGGGGAAUUUGCCUCAGGUAGGCAGGGAACGAAUAUGGAGAGAUAAUCAAACAAUCCAGAGAAGGGAGGAAAUAGUCUCUCUGUCUCAGUCAUUCUCUAGGCAACGGCAGAAAUGCUGGCCUGAAGGGUCCGUGCCCUAAAAUUUCUUAUGUCAGAGUAUCACCUGAUAUUCAUAUCAAAGGCAGACUCUGCUCUGCGUUUGAUGAUCCUUGCAGGGGACACAGAGGAGGGUUCCUUUGACCCUACGGGGACCUGUGUUAUAAGAUUGGAUCAGCUUGCAAAGUUCAGCAGGAUAAUAGCAACUGCCAUUUAUUGGGCACCUGUGUGUGCCAAGUGCUUUGUCCAUAUUAACCCAUUAAAUCCUCCCCAUAUCCCAAUGGGGAUAAGGGUUUAUUAGCCUCAAUUUGAAGUUGAGGAAAUUAAAGUUCAGGGAGAUGAAGAAACUUGCCUAAGCUCACAGCUGGUAAGCAACAGAACUGGGAUAUGACCAGGUGCUGGAGUCCGUGACCCUUCACCAUAUUACACGAUGCAUCGUUAUUGCUGUUUAGGUUUCGCACACUUUGACCACCAAAAGAAAUACUGCUUCUCUGUAACAGACAGGGAUGAACAGAAUAUAGAGAUGCAAAUGGCUGGUGGAUACAGAACACGUGUGCUUUAGAACUGCUUUUCUACUGUCACAGCACGUUAGACGGGGACCGUAAGCUAAGAGCAUUCAGACCCUGGGUACUCAAAGUGUGGUCCAUGGACCAGCAGCAUCAGCAUCACCUGGGAGCUUGUUAGAAAUGUGAGCAUCUCUGGCCACACCCCUGACCUACUGAAUCGGAAUCUGCAUUUUAACACAAUUCCGAGUUUGAGACACACUGGUGAAGACCGGGGAUUCUCAACCCACUUACCCUUCUGAGGACAAAAGUAUAUGAGGACCAGAGUUAGAAUCCCUGGCAGUAGGGCUGAGCUUCUGUGGGCUUUUUUAGAGCUUCCCAGGAGAGUCCAACAUGCAGUUAGAGUUGAGAACCACUGAUCUGGUCCAAACACCCACCUUAUUUUUAUUUUUCCCUUGUUGUACACUGCAGUUAAAAUAAGCAAAGUGACCUACCAAGUAUAAGGAAAAGAGUGUGAACUUUAGAGACCACACAGAUCAACAUUUGGAUCCUGAUUCUGCCACUAAUUUGCAGUGGGAGGCUUUUGGCAAAUCAAUAGACUCCCUGGGCCUCAGAUUCCACAUUUAUAAAAUGGAGCUAACACCCACCUUAGAGGGUCACCGUGAGAAACAUCCAUGCAAGGCACAGAGGCAAGGACGUGUGUGCACAGCAGGACGCUGACCAAUGGGGACUACUCUGACUGCCUGUCAGAUCACUUGGGCAGCAGGUGGCUGGCAGAGGAGCUAAGUGCUGAAGCCUCGAAAUUCCUGCCCCCGGAGUCCUCUCCAAGUGUACAGCCAAUGUGCUAAUAUGACUUUUGUUAAGACUCUGCUGAAAAUGGGGCACCUGGGGGGCUCAGUCGGUUAAGCGUCUGCCUUUGGCUCAGGUCAUGAUCCCGGGGUCCUGGGAUCGAGCCCCACAUCAGGCUCCCUGCUCAGGGGGUGAGUCUGCUUCUCCAUCUCCCGCUGCUCCUCCCCCAUCUUGUGUUCUUUCUCUCUCUCUCUCUCUCUCUCGAAUAAAUAAAUAAAAAAUCUUAAAAAAAAAAAAAAAGACUCCGAUAAAAAGACGCGGGAAGAAGCAGUUGAAAGGCAGUCUACAGGGAAGGAAGUAAAAAGGGGCCUCCUCUUCCAUGUGCUCCCAUACCCGCAGCCUGCACCGCUCGUCCCGUCUGUUCCAGCCAGCUGGUGCUAGGGGUCAAAGAUGUCUCAUCGUUUAGUUAGCAUUUUUCAAACAUACAAACAAAAACCACUUUCCAUACCGCAUGUUGAUCUAUAUUUACUAGAACAGGAAAUUAACACAGGUGGAAAUAGCUCCUCUGGAGAAAUGCCUUCACUGUGACGGAAACUAAGAAAACACAAAAUGUGGCUUUGCAUCUCUACCUGAGAAAGUCCAGGGUUCAAAGAGUGUGGGAAAGGAAAGGUGUUCUCAUUCCUGUGUUAGCAGUGUUGUUUUUUUUUUAAACUUUUUUUGUGGUAAAAUAUACUUACCAUAAAAUUACCAUGUUAACCAUUUUUAAGGGUACAGUUCAGUGGUAUUAAGUAAAUUCACAUAACUGUGCAUCUUUCUAACAGUUUUCUUCUUAUACUUCCUUCGUUUUCUUCUUGCACACACCUACACAUAUGCAUACGCACUAUCUUCAUGAUUUUGAGGCUUUGGAACUUUUCACAUAUAUAAUUAGAAAUUAUCUGAAGAGGGGUCCCAGGGCAACAUGCCUUUUCUUCUCAUUGGAAGAAAAUUUAUUUGGUGAGUGACAAUCAUGUGCCAGGUGCUUUCACAUACUUUAUUCAUAACAACCUAUAAGGGAGGGAGGGGGUGUUACACUCAUUUUUUACAGAUUAGGUAACUGAGGCUCAAGGAGGCAGAUCAGCAGGUACACAGCCACGUAGAAAGGACUAUGGCCAGCAUUCAUACUCGUACCUGCAGGACUCCAAAGGCCAUGCUCUUUUUUCCUUCUUUUUUAAAGAAAUAUUUUUUUAUUGGGCACCUGGGUGGCUCAGUCAGUUAAGCAUCUGCCUUCAGCUCAGGUCAUGUCCCAGGGUCCGGGGAUCAAGUCCCACAUCAGGCUCCCGGCUCUGCGGGGAACCUGCUUCUCCCUCUCCCUCUGUUGCUCCCCCUGCUUGUGGGCUCUCUCUCUCUGUCAAAUAAAUAAGUAAUCUUUUUAUGAGUUAUUAUCUUAAAAAAAUACUUUUUGAUACCAAAAAAUGUAAAGAAAAAAUAAAAAUCACUAACAAACUCCUCCCCUAAUCACUGAUCCAUAUUGAGGUCUUCCUGUCCAAUUCUUUGCGUACACCAGUACAUUUACUUCCCUGAUGUCCCGUUGAAUGCGGGACAGGAGAGGGGGAUGGCAAAAGGAUGUGACAGGGAGGGAUGGAACUUCCACGUAUUUUUUCCUCUGUAUAUGUAUAUGUUGCUUGAAUCUUUUACAAUAGAUGUAUUUGCAAAUGAGUUGUGCAGUAAAUGAAUGGAAAAUAAUUGGAAGUAAGAUCCAGAGGGGAAAAAAAAGAAUGUAUUGAUCAACAAGGGAGACUUGUCAACCUAGAAACAUUGAAAAAGAAAAGCCCAAGAGGCAAAGAUUGGCUCAGAACCAAGAACUCUUUAGGGUAAACAAUAAGGCUCAGGCUGAUAGGAAUGUUUCUAACAUAAAGACAGACGCAUCAGGCUUUCAAAGCAGAAUGUCAUUAAACCUCCCUAUCACCUAGUAGUGCAGUAGUUUUGGUCUAAUUCUGUGCCUGCCAGACAGCUUUCUAAAUACAAUUUAACUUCCCAUGUAAUUUGCUUACAGAGUGAGAAUGUUCUGGGUAGAUUAUUAUAAAUUUUCCAACUACUUGACAAUUAAACCUUUCUGCCAAUUAAAUUAAUUGGUUUUCAAAUAUUUCUUCAUUCUCUGAGAGCUCUGUUCGUCAGUCGGCAUCACUAAAUUCUGUCAACCCAGGAUUUGGGUUUGAACUUUCCAAAUCCGUAAGUCUGGACUCUGGUUUAUGGGAAAGGUCAACUGAAUGCCAUUCCUUGGAGUACUUUCUAGGCUGAGGGGCAGGAGGAUUGCAACAGACAUCUCUGGUCUUACACAUCCAAUAUGUGCCAGAAAACACCAUUAUUAGCACCAUUGCUAACAUUCCUCAGGUCAUGUGGCUAGACAGGGCCAAUCUUAGGCCAUUUAACAGCAGUACAAUGUGGUAGUAGGCCAGGGCAGGUUUUGAAGAGACAGACCCCAGCCACAAACACUGGGGGAAAGCCCCAUCCAGCAAGCACAGAUGGUAUCUGGCUCAGGCAUUAACAGAAGUAACUACCAAUUUCAACAAUCAUUCAGCCUCAUGUAGUAGAGGUAGGACUGAGGUGUCAUGAGGGCUGAGAAGAGCAAUGGUAGAAGGGAAUCGAAGAGUAAAUGAUAGGCAGGGAUCCAGGCAGGUGUUGACCUCAGGUGAGUCCACCUGCAGGCAUCAAUACCUGGUACCUAGGCAAAGACUGGGUUUCUUUCUUUCAUUCAUCAUUCAUUCAUUCAUUCAUUCAUUCAUUCAUUCAACAAAUAUUUGUGACAUACCUCUUGAGGAGACACUCCUCUAUGGGACUCUCAUGCUCCUGCAUACCUUGUUCAGUAUACCAGGGAUACAAGGCCUGACUACUCUUCACCUGGGCCGUUUCUCAGGGUUGUGUUGUCAGCAAGCAACCUUGAGGGAUGAAGUAAUGCCUUCCCCAGGGAUGAAGAGCAGGCUUGCUUACUGCUUACUAUAAAAGACAUGAAUUCCCCAAGUUCAGCGUUCCACACCUGCAACACAAACUCACUGCACAGUCUCCAUCUGACCCACAUCAUGUCUCCCGUGAGAACUGGGGGCAAAGGAACUGAGGCAAGCAUGCGGAUGCUAUGCUGCUUGCUGUCCUGGGACUAAUAAAGUCCUGUGUUUCUGACCCUGGAGUCUCAUGUCUCCUCCAGCAUCCAGGGACUAGUAAAAGGCUAACUUACUAGCUUGUAAAUUGGGUAAAACCAAAUUCCAGACCCUACAGCACCUAGUAUGUGCUAGGCCCUAUACUGGGUCUUGGGGAUAAAGCAGUGUACAAAAACAGAACAUUCAAGUGGGGGGGACGAACAAUAGAUAACAAAAUAAAAAAGAAAACAGUAAGAAGUGUUCUGCAGACAACAUAAAUGGGGUGAUGUGCUAGAGAUGACCAGGUGCCUAUACUAGACUGAGUGGCCACAGAAGGCCAAGAAAAAAGCACCUAGAGGGAAGCACAGAGGCAAGACGAGAACAGCAAGUACAGAAGGCCUGCAGUAGAACCAGCCAGUGUGGCCAGAGGAUGGUAGUCACAGGGGAGACGGUUUGAAGGCAGGUCAGUAAGGAGCUAGAUCCUUGCCCUGUGAGGCCAAAGCUAGGGAUUUAGAUUUCUUCCCAGGUGCAAAGGGAAGCCAUUGGAAAAUUUUAACAAGGAGCAUAAAUGAUCUGAUUUAGAUUUUUAAAACUGGCUCUAGCUGCUAAGCAAAGACAAAUGGUUGCAAUGGGCAAGAAUGCACACAUUUGGGAUGUUAUUGCAUUAGUCCACGUGAGACAUAAUUAUGGCUUAGACAAGGAUGGGCAGAGGAAUGCUAAAUAGAAGUGGACAGAUUUGGGCUGAGUUUUAGUAUUUUUUAAAAUUUUUAUUUAUUUAUUUAUUUAUUUGAGAGAGAGAGAGAGAGAGCAUAUACGGGGGUGGGGAGGGGCAGAAGGAGAGAGACAAUUCCAAGCAGACUCCCCACUGAGCACAGAGCCCGAUGUGGGGCUCAAUCCCACAGCCCUGAGAUCAUGACUGGAGCCAAAACCAAGAGUCAGACAGACUGACUGAGCCACACAGGCGCCCCAGAUUUGGGCUGAGUUUUAAAGUUAGAGUUGGCAAAAGUGCUAAAGGACUGGAUGGGGGAGAUGGGGAAAUGGGGUGGAAUAGUAGUUAAUAGGAAUAAGAAAAAGGGAAGAACCAAAGGUGAUCACUCCUAGGUUACUCCCCUGAGAAACAAGGUGAGUUCCAGUUGCUGAGAUGACUGAGACGAGGGAAAGAGCUGGUUUAAGAGAGAAUCCAGCGAGUCUCAUGGGUGAAGGCAGACCCAGACGGUUGCUGGGGUCUGGAGUUCUGAGGGGAGACCAGGCUGGAGGUAUCAUUUCGGGGGCCACCAUCACAUGGACGGUGUUUAAGUUGUGAGGGGUGUGAGGGGAUGAGAAGACUGGGCGAGAUGAUCUGGAUAGCGGAGAGUGAGACUCAGGCCUGCAUCGCACAACUACCACAUGAAGAACCAGAGCCCAGAAAUGGGACUUCUAAGAGUGGCUGCCAAGGUGGGGGAAAGCCUCGAGGAUUUGGUGUCACAAACGCCCCAGGAAAAUAUCACAUUCAAGUAGAACAGAGGGGUCGGCUAUUGAACAUUGCUGAGAAGACUGUCCAUCUCCAGUUCCCUGAGAGACAAGCCCUAAGUACUGCUCCAGUUACUGCCUCCAGACCCUGGGACAGUGAUAUCAAAUAAGACGCACAAUGCAGCUCAAAGGCAGAGUUUCCAUUACACCAGACGAGCGCGUGGGGCUACCUGAGUCCUAGAGUUACAGAGGCUUCUGCUGACAAGAAGAGAUGUCCCAUCCAGAGUGUGGCACGCUUGCUACCCUUCUCCCUAGACAACCCACCCUUCCCCCCUCCCCCUCCCACCCCCGAGGGGCCGGAGGGCAUACCUCUGGGUAUGGAUUCCCUUAUCUGUCCAGCUAUGCUAAUGCUCCUCAUCUUUCAAGGCCUAACUUGGUCCUCCUCAUUCAAUACACCCCCAUCAAUUGUUCUGUGCUUCCUUCUAUGCUCCUUACAUCCUUGAUAUAAUUUAAUUCUCGUAGACACACUGAGGUGAAUAUUAUCAUUUUCAUUAACAAAUGAAGAAAGUCAAGCUUAGAGAGGCUAAGGAACUUGCUUAAAAUCACACAGCUUGCAAGUGGUGAAAAUGGGAUUCAAGGCCAGGACUGUGGCCCUUCCCACUGACCUGCCUGCCUGCACAUGUGGCGAGGUUAGGGACUCUAAACAGUUUAGCUCAAGGCUGAAAGCAGAAGACAAAAAGGCAAAUUACAAUCACAAAAGGUGCAACUACAUAAACUGUGUCAUUACAAGCAAAUGACAGUCAGGGGACAUGCAAAUUGCUAUGGAGUUCAAAAGGAGAUCAGAAAUGCUUCUUGGAAGAGGCAGUGUGUGCAAUGGGCCUUGAGAGCUGGGUAGGAUUUUGCAGGGCUGAGGAAGCUGGGAGGAUGUACGAAGAGAAAGGAGCAGCCACAUGGCUCCCCAGUUGCAGUCAGUGCCUAAGUCCAGCCUUGUCCACCUCACCAUCCCCUUUACAGGGUUUUCCAUCUCUCAUAUUUCCUUUAUCCCUACAUCCCAGCACCUAACCCAAGGUCAUGCACACAGAUGUCCAGUGAAUAUUUGUUGAGUUCAACAGUGUCCUGUCUGAUCUCCUAACUAGUCUCUCCUUUAUCUAAUCCAUCCCUGUACCAGCCAAAUGUCGUGGCUAACCCUGCCCACAAUUAAACCUACUCCCUCUAGAGAAUUUGCCUAGUUUCUGGAAAACUCUAUGGGAACGCCCAAUAACUCACAGACCCACAAGCUCACAAAGCUGGCCUCAGUUGAUAUGACCUAACCCAAGGCCAGCCCAUUCGUUGGCUGAGCAGCAACCAACCCGAUUCUCGAGAGAGAAAGAGAGAGAGAGAGAGAGUGGAAGACCAUCCAUGGUGGGCACGGCACCACACAGUCCUGGGAAGUUGGGGCUGUGCCAAGAUGAGCCCAGCAAGAGAAGCAGAGACAUGGGAGCAAGGGGCCCCAAGAGGUGGAGGGAGCAGCCACAUGGCUCACCCUUCCAGGUCCCAGUCCUCACUCCUCACCCCACAAGGCCCAGCAACACUCCUUUUCCUGUUCUGAGCUAUCUGGGAGAUAGCCCCUAUGCCUUCCCAAUGAACUCCCCUAGUUACUUUUUUCCCUUUCUCAGUUUUAGACUGUAUUUAUUGACUCCCACCCACCACCGUUACAGCGAGUAACACAUGCUUUCUCUCUCUGAUUUUCAUUCUAUGAUUAUUAUUGUCAAGAUUUAUAAUGUUUUUUAAAACCUUUUAUUAUGUCAAUUUUCAAAAGAAGGAAGGGAGAACAAUGUCAUGAAUUUGAUGUACCUUCACCAACUCCAACAAUUAUCCACCCUUGGGCCAAUCUUGCUUCAUCUAUACCCUCUCCUAUAUCCACAUGUGGAUUUUUUUAAAGAUUUAUUUAUUUUAGAGAGAGAGUGGGGAGAAGGGCAGAGGGAGAAAGAGAAUCUUCGAGCAGACUCACUCCCUGCUGAGUGCCAAGCCCCAUGCAGGACUCAAUCCCAGGACCCUGAGAUCAUGAUCUGAGCUGAAAUCAAGUCAGACGUUCAACCGACUGAGCCACCCAGGCACCCUCCACGUGUGGAUUUUUAAAAUCAAAUCCCAGGCUCAUCUCAUUCUUUUCCUGCCUUCAACCUAGAAUCAACUAGGUCUCUGAGGAACCUUCAAUUCUUUUAACGGGAAAUAAUAAUUCAAGACCACUGCCUAACGUUCACUGCAGCAUUACAAGCAUACCCCGGAGAUAUUGCAGGUUCCGUUCCAGACCACCACAAUGAAUGUCAACCUAUACGUAAGCUGUAACUACACUUGCUCGUCAAUUUCAACCUCAGGUUGGUACAGAUGGGUGAGCUCAGCAAACAGCAAUGAAAACAUUCUGAGGGAAUCAACGGACUAUCCAGAAUUUACAGUAAAGAAUACUGUAUAUUGGGAUGCCUGGGUGGCUCAGUCGGUUAAGCAUCCACCUUCAGUUCGGCUCAUGAUUCCAGGGUCCUGGGAUCGAGUGCCACAUCGGGCUCCUUGCUCAGCAAGGAGCCUGCUUCUUCCUCUGUCUCCCACUCCCCCUCUGUGCUUGCUCUCUCUCUGUAAGUAAGUAAAGUAAGUAAGUAAGUAAAGUAAGUAAAUAAAUAAAUAAAUAAAUCCUUUUAAAAAAAAGGGAAGAAAAAAAAAUUCCCAGGGAAUCAAUUGGCUAUAUCGAAUUCACAGUAGAGUACUAUACAUUUUUCUUUGUAACGUGUGUGCUACAGGUCAUUGCUAUCAGUAAGAUGUGUACUAAGUGUGUGUGUGUGUGUGUGCUUACAUUUAUUUUUGGAGAGCUGGUUGUUAAGCAUUUACCAGCUACCAGCACUGCUCUGGCUCCAAUCCAAUGUCAGAUCAGUGAUUACAGAUCUUAGGGGCCCAACAGAGGGAAGAGAGGCUUCUCAGGACAACCAAUCAACUGAAAGGGAUGGAGUUAUUUUGAAAUCCUUCUGCUCUGAUAUUCAGCCUGCCAGGAUGGAGGCCAGAAACUCCUUUGCAUUUCUAGGGAUGGUUACCUGAUUUACGGUAGGUGAGUCUCGCUCUCCAUUUAUGGUAGUGAUCCAGUUUCCUUUUCAAAUGAAAACUGUUUAAAGUACCAGGGGAAAAAAAGGUCAAUUUCCAAAAGGAAAACAUUCAGUCAAUGAUAAAGGUAAAACACAGAAGGGACAAAAAUUCACAUGGCGGCCUGCAGUUGACCACACUUUGCGCAACACUCACUCAGUGCUGAAGAACAGAGGCUGUGAAGAGCUACACCGGGACUCCUAUUCAGGCAUUCCUAAUGACCCCUGGCUUUUUGAACUUACAGCCUUCAUGUCCUGGCCUGGACCACAGGGACCUGAGUCGGUGAGAGGCGGGAAGCCCAGGGCCUGGCACCGGUGCAGCGGACUACAGAGGGGCCCCGGGGAGGAGCCUGGGCUGGGCCGGGCCUCCUCACUGACCCACACCAGGCACCGCCUUCCACCUCCGCUCCCCGAGCUGCUGCGUAAGGUCCAUAUUCACACACACACAGCAGUUUUGCUCCGUCAUUCUGUGAUGGCCUGGACACAGCGGCCGGCGCCCUCUGGCCGUGACUCAGCACGCCCAGACCAAAGCCGCCUUGCUGCUCAGGGCUGUUCGGGGCUGCUCGGGCAGCCAGCUGCCCCCACGGGACAGAAGAAAACUCCCACUACCCCCCAGUGCACUCUAUGAGUUCUGCUUUUUCAUCUUUUUUUUUUCUUUUUAACUUCCCUAGGUGGGGGAUAAGGUACUCUUCAAGUAGGUAAAGUAAACUUUAAUAGAUAAAUACAGUUAAACAUUGGUUGUAAGAGAUUUCAUCCCUCUGUCUGGGCUUUAAGGGUGGGAGACAUUGCUCGUGGUUUAAAUAAAAAGGCCUAAUGCUUCUCCCAGGUUCCUUCAGCGAUGGCCCAUCAGAGCCCUGGGGGACGCGUGCCCAAUGGCCUCCAUCCCCGCCCGCGGAGUUUUGACCAGCUAGGGAGGGGACCAGCUGUCGAUAGCACAGUGCCGUCUGACUGCCGCCAGACCCGGUCUCCCCCUUUUGCUCUCUGCUGGCUCUUCUCUGUGCUGGGCAGUUUGGCUUGCAAGGAAGGGACAUCAGUCGAGUUCUGAGGUGACAGGCAUUUACUGUCAUUAUCACGACGGCGGCAGCAGCCGCGUGAGUGGGCAUUUGUGCCAGGUAGACCCCACUGUCUCCCCACCCUUCACCCUACCCGCCCCCCCUCUGGGCCGUGGCAGGCGGACUUCUGUAUUGUGCACCCACCUCCCUGCCUUGCGCUCUCGCCUCCAAUUGGAUUGGUCUUUGGGUGGCAUGGGCAGGAGAUGAGAGGGAGGGAGGAGAGGGCUUGGGGGUCUGUACCCCCUCCACUUCUUCCCUGGAUGGCUGACUGGCCCAGCUGCACGCUUGUCCAGAGCCCACGGUUCCUGUCCCGCCGCCCUCUCUAGAGACUGGGUGUCUGGUAACUGCCCCUUCCUCGCGCCCUCAAGCCAGGAACGGUAAGGGCUCUUGCAGGGGCUAGCCCCAGGGGACUCCGCCAUCCCUUGCUGCUGUCCCUGCACCUCACCCACACCAUUUGUCCAUGGUCCAUUCCACUCUCCUCAGUUACCCAACGGAGGGUCCUGCCCAGACCCAGACUGCUCCCUGGGCACCUGGCUUCUCUCUACAUCCUCUAUCCUUUAACUCAUGCAGUCGUCACAACAAUUCCACUAGGUGGACACCCAUAUUAGCCCAGUUCACAAAGGAGGAAACUGAGGCACAGAGAGGGCAAUUAACUGCCCGAGUUCACACAGCAGUAGGCGGCAGGGCCGGCACCCAAACCCAGACAGUGCAGCUCCUGACGCCAUUCGGGGUCAGGACGUGUAAGGGAAUAGCAGCGUAGGUGUCUGUCUUUGGCCCUGAGAGCACAGGGCCAGCCAGACACUUAGGCCGCCGGAGUCUGGGGUGGAGUGCAGAAACGGAAAGAUCCUCCAGGCCACUCUGCGGAGCCCUCCCUAUCUCACAGCUCCCAGGACUGCCGCAUCACUGUGACUCAGCCACAUUGCCUCUGCCCACCCUGUCACCAGCACCCUGCUCCUCUCCGCUCUCUGCUUUUUUUAAGAUUUUAUUUACUUAUUUAUCUGAGAGAGAGAAAGUGCGUGGGGGGGGGGGGGCAGAGGGAGAGGAUCUCAAUCUGGGCCCCCACCCCCGCCCCCACAGUGUGGAGCCCGAUGGAGGGCCCGAUCUCAGGACCCUGAGAUCACUACUUGAGCCGAAACCAAGAGGCAGUGCUCAAUCCACUGAGCCCCCCAGGCACACCUCUGCUUUCCAUCUCUUGUCCUCACUGCUUCUGCCCAGGGCCUUCUCUGUGUGUCCUUUAAUUUCUACCCUCCACCAACUGCUGCUGACACCUUCAGUGGAGGGUCUGCUUGAUUGGGUCAGUCACCAGUCAGUCUGUUCCGCUCCGAAAGUCACUGGCCUGGCCCUGGGUCAGAAGCUGCGUGGUUACCACAAGGGGAUGGGGGUCCUGUGGAAAGCCACCAACAGCCCCCACUGUAGGAUUGCUGCACACAGAGAACACAGGAACAUACAGAAGCUAGAGUCUGCACAGCUGGCGCUGGGGCAGAGAUCCAGGCUUCUCAGGGGGGAGGAAGAAUAGACCUUCUCACCACUCCUCGGGAGGCCCUGGCUUCAUGCUGGCUCUCCUUGAGAGCAAGAAACUGAUGCCAAAUAACCCUCGCACAUUACCACGAGCUAGGUGAGGCAAGACUCAGCUUCUCAGAGCACCCCAGCAGACUUAGGCCUCAGGCCUGUCCCAAGUCCAUCCCUGUAGACAUCUACCCUGGUCGAUGGGUAUGGCCAGAGUGGGAGGGUCACCUAGUACCGAAUGACAAAACCAGGCUGGUCGCACAUAAGAAGCCACUCCGGGCCCCUUCUCAGACCUCUCCAGGUAUAGCAAGCAACCAGAUCCUGAUAGAUUCCUCUGGGUACAUUCCUCAUGCGCCCUCCACUCCAGUCUCCCGAAACUUUCCACAGGUUCUAGACAUAAAGCAUUCAUGACUCAGGAUGCCUGGGUGGCUCAGUCGGUUAAGCGUCUGCCUUUGGCUCAGGUCAUGAUCUCCGGGUCCUGGGAUCAAGCCCCAUGCUCAGCAGGGUGUCUGCUUCUCCCUCUCCCACUGCCCCUCCCUGUUCCCCUCCCCCACUUGUGCGCACUCUCUAAUAAAUAAAUGAAAUCUUUAUUUUUAAAAAAAAAAGCAUUCAUGACUUCCUGUCUGCCCAAACCAUUCCCUCAGCCCCGAAGGUCUUCCUCCACUUACUUCCAGCAAAUUACUUUCUCUUUAAGAAAACUCCCCAGAUACCCCAAACUGGAUCAAUUGUCCUAUCGCCUGUGCCCCCACUUCUUCGUUCUUUGGAAUAGCACUCACCAUGUCCCACUGCCAGGUUUUAGCUGCCUGUCUCCUCUCUUAAACCAUGAGCUCCUCAAGAACAAGGCUAGUGUCUGAUUCAUUUUUAUAUUUUAGGGCCCCUCCCCAGAACAUGAACAUACUAGAUGGCCCCCAAGUGAUAUAGAUAAAUAAGUGAUAAAGAAAGACAGAUAAGUGAUAUUAAAGAAAUGAAUAGAUGAAGAGCCAGGAACAUAACCAGAAAGUAGCAAAUAGGAGGGUGACUGUUAUUUCCCUGCAGGGAAUGGUGAUGAGGGAUGGGGAGGAGGGGAACAGGCAAGGAGGGAAAGCCAGCGCAGGGGUGUGAGAUCAGCUGGUCACCAUGUGGGCCUCGGGGCCUCAUCUUGCUGGAAGCUUCUGAGGAGCCACACAGAAGGACCUCACAAUUGCCCACCUAAUGGACAGAACGGGGGGGGGGGGGAUCUUCACCCUUCAGUCCCAUCCCCCAUUGGUUGAAGUUUGCCCCACAGCAUGGCGGGUCCCUCACACAUCCAGAAGGCAACCAGGAAGCAAGUGUGUCCACACUGCAGGGUCGGGGAGACACCAGGCAGCAAAUGAGUGAUUCUCGGCGCCACUAAAGUGAGAGCUGUUGGGCCGCAGGUGCAGAGAGCUGUCUGCCACGGCAGUGGCUAGAGCAGCAGCUGGGCCAAAAGGAGGCAAAGCAUCCAUGCGGGUCUCUGGAAGGCACAGAUAUUAAGGCUGGAAAGGCCUGCUGAAGGUUAUACUGCAGAGGGCCUUGAAAAUCAGUCCUUAAGGCUUAACUGGGUAGGCUUCCCAGAACCGCCGUGAAUUUCUGUGCAGUGCAGAAUAUAAAUGGCAGCACCAAGGGGUGGCUAGAGUCAGUUGUGGUCCCCUCCCUCCUAGGCCAAUCUGCCCUCUCCCCAGACCUCUCCAAAUAAACCUAGAAUUUAGUGAAAACCAGUCCGAGUGCUGUACCCUGACUCCCAUCAAUUAAUGGCCAUGCCUGAGCCCCUCGAGGAGACCGAAAUACUAAGCCCCAGUUGGAGCUGCUGCCUCCCCCCCUCCCAUGAGGAAAUCCCUAUAUUUUUAAAUACUGAGCUCUCUGUGUACAUCUUUAAGAUCUAAGGAAAGAGGAGCUUGGGAACCUUUAAGAAAAAAGCCAGUCACGAGAGAUUCCUGGUUGCAACCCACCAGCAUUGUUACCUGCUGAAGAAAUAGUUCCAUUCUAAUUUCCAAAAAGGUUUAGAGAAAUGAUAGGUGAAAGGGGGAAGGAAAAAAAAAAAAAACCCUUCAAAUUGGUGAAGAAUCAAGAGGAAUGCACCUGGAAAACGCCAUGACAUUAAUUUUUCAACUUCUUAAACAACUCUAUUAGGACCUAUACAAUGAGAGCUGGCCUUUGGUGCACCUAACACUAUGCAUUCCCUAUCUUAGCUCCAGACUCUGGUGGCACAUUCAUCUGAAUCUCCUCCACAGUAGCUUUCUUUGUCCUUUCUAAACUGGAUUUUCCUGAACAGUCCAAGAUCAAAGGCAAGAGGAUAGAUUAAGAUGUAUUUUCUUGUGUGAGACAUCGCCUGGAUCACCAAACACAGAGUUCACCAAAUGUUUUGAGUGGUGAUGACACCAUGCAGACAAGAUUACAGAGUUCUGGUGUGAUGUUUAAUUAAAACUUUUCAUCUGAUCAAGGGCACCGUCACUGGUGGUGACAAUGUAAAUUACCCAUCACCCAGAAAUUCUGCUUCUGGGAAUUUAUCCUGAGGAACUAAUAAAGAAUGUGGGGAAAGAUUUAGCCACAAGGAUAUUCACUAGACUGCUCUUGAGAAGAAAAUUUAGAAACAACGUAAGUCCCCCAAAGAGGGGGAUUAGCUAAAGAUAGUACCAUCAUUCAGUGGAAUUGUGUUCCCUGCUGCCAUCAAUGUAAACACUGUGUGUGUGUGUACAUACACACCAAGAGACAUGUUUAUAAAUUAUGCUCUGACAUAGAGUGAAAAGAAUCUGUGGUAUUCCCCAGAUUUGGGUAGAUGGGAUUAGGAGCAUGUUAAACGUUCUCUUUGCUUGAUUUUUUCCAUUCUGAGCAUGAACUGCUUUUGUACUAUAGAAAGAAUAAUUAAAGAAAAGUCCUACCCAGGGGAGUCCCAUUGCUCGUGGACAAGGUGGUCAGAAUCUCCCUCUUUUUCCAGGCUCAGCUCAUGGACUAGUUUAGUCUAAUAGAUAUUUAACCAGCUUCACUAGGCCAUGCCAAGCCCUGCAAAUUUGGGGGGACACAAUGGUGAAGGUGAGGUAUGGUUCCUGGCCUUGAAGGACUCCGGUCAAGUAGGAGCACAUAUACCUCAACAGAAACUCAUCAGCAACCUAAGGGGAGCCUAGGAUUUGAAGCGCAACUGCGCCCCCCAACCCCCAAGAUCAGAUACUACAGUAAAGUGCUUUGAAAGGCAGCACUGUACUAACGUAGGCUCCCAGACUCCUCCUCCCAUCAGAGCCUCCCAUCAGAGGGACCAGCUCGCAGGAAAAGCUAAGUGUUCUCAUGAGAUAUAGUAUAUAGAGUGUACCCCAUGUGAGGAAAUGGUUAUAAGCCUCUUUUUGGCAGCCAUAUGUAGGUAGAAUUUGAGUAAUGCUGUGGUCAGCCUUCUAGCAGCAAUACCCUUCUGAUAUAGUAAUAUUUCCCUCCUAAGAUUCCCUCCUAUAGAACAAUACUACAAGACACUAUAUUAAAGAAAGAUAUUCCACUUUCCUUUAUACUAGAUGUUUUAGAUCUGAUCUGAGUUUCAAGUGUGCCUUUUUUUUUUAAAUUGCAGUUGCAUGUUGCCCCCUCGUGUUCAUCUGUAUUAUUGCACCCUGUUGUAAGGUGUGAGGAAGAAGUGGAGGGAGGUCUGGGCCCUUGACUUCCCAGAAGGGGAAAAAUAAAUGUAGUGGAUAUGUGAUAGGGCUUGCAAAAGUACACAGAUAAUAGCCACUUAAACUGUAAAAUAUAAGCCAUGGCUCUAUUUUUUCUGUAACAGUAUAAAAUGUUCUAGUUUUUGGUCGGAAUAAUAAGAGGUAAUAUUUAGUGUACACUUACCGGGUGCCAGGCACGAAAUUAAGUGCAUUGCAUUUGUUACCUCACUUAAUGCUCACAACAAUCCUGAGAGGGGAGACCUAUUAGUUGCUCGGAGCUCACAAUUCAAGGGAGGAGAUAGACAUAAAAUGUCACAUCAAAACAAAGCAAACAAAGCCAAAGGGCCUAUGAUCUGCAGAGAGAGUACUGGAAUGAAGAGCCAGAAGCAGAUGGCAGGGGCUGUGUUCCAUAAUCUUGUUACAUUCACUGUCAUGGAUGAUGCCUGGAUGAUGUGCUUUCAGUCUACCCUCAAAAGUAAACCAUCUUGAGGCACCUGGGUGGCUCAGUCGGUUAAGCGUCUGCCUUCGGCUCAGGUCAUGAUCCCAGAGUCCCGGGAUCGAGCCCAGUAUCAGGCUCCCCUCUCUGCUUCUCCCUCUGAUUCCCACCCCACCAUGCUCACUCGCUCUCUCUCAAAUAAAUAAAAUCUUUAUUUAAAUAAAGUAAACCAUCUUUUCUUAACAGCUUUACUGAGAUAUAAUUCACUUAUCUUACAAUUCACCCACUUAAAGGGGACAACUGAAUGGCUUCUAGUAUGUUCAUAGAGAUGUGCGACACCAGGGUCAAUUGUAGAUCAUUUUUAUCACCCCUAAAAAAAACCCACAUAUCCAUUAGCAGUCACUCA